GGCCUAACACAUGCAAGUCGAGCGGUAGCACAGAGAGCUUGCUCUCGGGUGACGAGCGGCGGACGGGUGAGUUAUGUCUGGGAAACUGCCUGAUGGAGGGGGAUAACUACUGGAAACGGUAGCUAAUACCGCAUAAUGUCGCAAGACCAAAGUGGGGGACCUUCGGGCCUCAUGCCAUCAGAUGUGCCCAGAUGGGAUUAGCUAGUAGGUGGGGUAACGGCUCACCUAGGCGACGAUCCCUAGCUGGUCUGAGAGGAUGACCAGCCACACUGGAACUGAGACACGGUCCAGACUCCUACGGGAGGCAGCAGUGGGGAAUAUUGCACAAUGGGCGCAAGCCUGAUGCAGCCAUGCCGCGUGUGUGAAGAAGGCCUUCGGGUUGUAAAGCACUUUCAGCGGGGAGGAAGGCGUUAAGGUUAAUAACCUUGACGAUUGACGUUACCCGCAGAAGAAGCACCGGCUAACUCCGUGCCAGCAGCCGCGGUAAUACGGAGGGUGCAAGCGUUAAUCGGAAUUACUGGGCGUAAAGCGCACGCAGGCGGUCUGUCAAGUCGGAUGUGAAAUCCCCGGGCUCAACCUGGGAACUGCAUUCGAAACUGGCAGGCUAGAGUCUUGUAGAGGGGGGUAGAAUUCCAGGUGUAGCGGUGAAAUGAGUAGAGAUCUGGAGGAAUACCGGUGGCGAAGGCGGCCCCCUGGACAAAGACUGACGCUCAGGUGCGAAAGCGUGGGGAGCAAACAGGAUUAGAUACCCUGGUAGUCCACGCCGUAAACGAUGUCGAUUUGGAGGUUGUGCCCUUGAGGCGUGGCUUCCGGAGCUAACGCGUUAAAUCGACCGCCUGGGGAGUACGGCCGCAAGGUUAAAACUCAAAUGAAUUGACGGGGGCCCGCACAAGCGGUGGAGCAUGUGGUUUAAUUCGAUGCAACGCGAAGAACCUUACCUGGUCUUGACAUCCACAGAACUUUCCAGAGAUGGAUUGGUGCCUUCGGGAACUGUGAGACAGGUGCUGCAUGGCUGUCGUCAGCUCGUGUUGUGAAAUGUUGGGUUAAGUCCCGCAACGAGCGCAACCCUUAUCCUUUGUUGCCAGCGGUUAGGCCGGGAACUCAAAGGAGACUGCCAGUGAUAAACUGGAGGAAGGUGGGGAUGACGUCAAGUCAUCAUGGCCCUUACGACCAGGGCUACACACGUGCUACAAUGGCAUAUACAAAGAGAAGCGACCUCGCGAGAGCAAGCGGACCUCAUAAAGUAUGUCGUAGUCCGGAUUGGAGUCUGCAACUCGACUCCAUGAAGUCGGAAUCGCUAGUAAUCGUAGAUCAGAAUGCUACGGUGAAUACGUUCCCGGGCCUUGUACACACCGCCCGUCACACCAUGGGAGUGGGUUGCAAAAGAAGUAGGUAGCUUAACCUUCGGGAGGGCGCUUACCACUUUGUGAUUCAUGACUGGGGUGAAGUCAU
rnacentral:rRNA from 1 species